AAAUUGUGAGCAGGAGCCAUCUGGCUAUCCAACAUAGUAUCUGCUGUCAUACCACCAUACAGAGCAGCUUCAGGCUGUGAGACUCCUGAACUCAAUUUUAUGAAAUAGAUGUAGCACAAAUGACUCAAACACACUUUCGCUCAACCAGAUUCACCCAGGGGUUUGUUCCUAUUCAGCCUUUCUUGGUGCGGUAUGAUCAGUUGAUUGCACUGGCUGAGUGUCACCCACAUCCACUGCCUGUGUUCCCGUUGGGGUGGAGCGUUUCUCAGCCACACAAGCACAGAGAUGCCUCUGGUGAUCCUCAGUCGGCUCCCAGGUUGCCCCCUCGGUGAUCCUCUGUUGGUGGUCCUACGAGCUUCCAGGAGUGUUCCCGAGGCAGGGGUCCGACUUCCAGUGGGUCCCAGCCCACGCCGCCUCUGCCAGCCUAUGUUUAAAUGUUUUUGGUGUUCAGCUUUGGCAAAAUAAAACUUUUUGUUCCCCCCUUA